rnacentral:miRNA from 1 species
UAAUUAGGCUCUGGAUCUGUGA